rnacentral:rRNA from 1 species
CGCGUAGGCGGGAAAUUUAGUCUGAGGUGAAAGUUUGCGGCUUAACCGUAAAAUUGCCUUGGAUACUGGUUUUCUUGAGUUCGGAAGAGGGAAGUGGAAUUCCUGGUGUAGCGGUGAAAUGCGUAGAUAUCAGGAAGAACACCGGUGGCGAAGGCGGCUUCCUGGUCCGAUACUGACGCUGAUGCGCGAAAGCGUGGGGAGCAAACAGGAUUAGAUACCCUGGUAGUCC